AAAAAAAGCAAACAGAGGUUAGCCUUUUAUGAAAAUUAGCUGAUAACUGGCUGUGUGAAGGAGGAAUCUGGUGUAAUCGAUCAGAUGGAAUUCAUUAAGUAUUACAUUGUAGCAAACACAAAUGUAGUUUCCAUAUUUGGCAUCCAAUUGAGUGCCAAAAGAGGUUCAAAGGAGUCAUAUCAAUUCAGAGUAUCUAAUCAAUACAAUUGUAGUUUCCAUACUUUUUGCUUGAUAUCCUUCGAAGGAGACAAAUUGAAUUCCAUUGAACUUUGAAUUUUUGAGCUUCUGAGCAGCUGAAUUGAUAUGCUAUUUCAUGAUGUUUCUUUAAUUUUUUCUUAUGAAGAGUUGUGGACUUUGGUAUGAGAAAAUGGAAUUCCUUGGAUCAAAAUCCUUGUUAAUCCUAUGAGAUAAGAGAAAA
rnacentral:misc_RNA from 1 species